rnacentral:misc_RNA from 1 species
GAUGAAGAACGCAGCGAAAUGCGAUACUUGGUGUGAAUUGCAGAAUCCCGUGAACCAUCGAGUCUUUGAACGCAAGUUGCGCCCGAAGCCUUCGGGCUAAGGGCACGUCUGCCUGGGCGUCACGCAUCGCGUCUCCCCCAAACCACCAUGUGUGGCAGGGGAAGGAGGAUGGCUUCCCGUCCCUCACCGGGGGCGGCUGGCCUAAAUUGGAGCCUGAGGCAUUGAGAUGCCGUGGCGAUAGGUGGUGAACAAGGCCUCGGCCUCGCAAACAACCCGUCACGCGUCCCUUGGACUCUCGUAGCUCGUAGGACCCUGUGAUGUUGCCUCGUUGCAACUGAAAACGCUGCGACCCCAGGUCAGGCGGGGCUACCCGCUGAAUUUAAGCAUAUCAAUAAGCGGAGGA